AGAGGGAAGCAAUACCGCGAGGUGGAGCAAAUCCCUAAAAGCCAUCCCAGUUCGGAUCGCAGGCUGCAACCCGCCUGCGUGAAGUUGGAAUCGCUAGUAAUCGCGGAUCAGCAUGCCGCGGUGAAUACGUUCCCGGGCCUUGUACACACCGCCCGUCACACCAUGAGAGUCGGGAACACCCGAAGUCCGUAGUCUAACUGCAAAGAGGGCGCGGCCGAAGGUGGGUUCGAUAAUUGGGGUGAAGUCGUAACAAGGUAAC
rnacentral:rRNA from 1 species